rnacentral:rRNA from 1 species
AACCGCWUWGAGCAAAACGAAUGGGCCUUCGAAUUCCGAUGACGAAGCAAUUCAGUCUCGAUAGCGUACGUGCCUGUUGGGUAUGUGUUUGCGCAAGCUUCACUGCCUAGCAUGGUUGCAAGCGUUGUUGAGGCGCAUUUUGUUUUGUCGGUAGGGCGUCGUAACCAGUAGAGUUAAUAAGAAAGCGUUUUGAGGGCUAGAUUGUUGGUAGCUUUUGCUUCUUCGGGAGUGAAUGUAAUUAGCGUUUAGUCUGAAUGAAUCGCUACUCUACUGUGGAAAAGUCUUGUACUUUUGCGCAAGAAAACCGGAAGGCUUGAAUGCUGUGUUGUUGAUCCACUUAAUGUGGGCUGCGAUGCAUGCGUUUGGCUGGUAGCUGGAUUUCUAUUGCUUUUGUACGGGACGGUUUACGGCGAGUAGGUCGGUAACCCAUUCGACCCGUCUUGAAACACGGACCAAGGAGUCUAACAUGUACGCGAGUCAUUGAGAUCCUGUACCUCAAAGGCGAAAUGAAAUGUGAAGGUCAAUUUUAUUGGCUGAGACGUGAUCUGAAACUCUAUGUAGUUUCGGCGCAGCGUCCACCCGUUCAACGUGGACUUGUCCUCAGAGCGGAGUGAGAGCGUACAUGUUAGGACCCGAAAGAUGGUGACCUAUGCCUGGGCAAGAUGAAGCCAGAGGAAACUCUGGUGGAGGUCUGAAGCGAUUCUGACGUGCAAAUCGAUCGUCUGACCUGGGUAUAGGGGCGAAAGACUCAUCGAACCAUCUAGUAGCUGG